GACGAACGCUGGCGGCGUGCUUAACACAUGCAAGUCGAGCGGUAAGGCCCUUUCGGGGGUACACGAGCGGCGAACGGGUGAGUAACACGUGGGUGACCUGCCCUCAGGCUCUGGGAUAAGCCUGGGAAACCGGGUCUAAUACCGGAUAUGACUCCAUGACGCAUGUUGUGGGGUGGAAAGCCUUGUGCGGCUGAGGAUGGGCCCGCGGCCUAUCAGCUUGUUGGUGGGGUGAUGGCCUACCAAGGCGACGACGGGUAGCCGGCCUGAGAGGGCGACCGGCCACACUGGGACUGAGACACGGCCCAGACUCCUACGGGAGGCAGCGAGUGGGGAAUCUUGCGGCAAUGGGCGAAAGCCUGACGCAGCGACGCCGCGUGAGGGAUGACGGCCU
rnacentral:rRNA from 1 species